GGGCGAGUGGUGAAAUUGGCAGACACGUCAGACUUAGGAUCUGAUGCCGCAAGGCUUGCGGGUUCGAGUCCCGCCCCGCCCACCA
rnacentral:tRNA from 1 species